AUGAAGAGAAACCUCCUCAUCAUCCUCAUCAUCACAUCAGGUGUGUUUGGUGCUGAUGAAAUCAGACCAUCAAAAGAUCAGGAGACUGAUGUUUCUGGAAAAGAAGGAGAACCUGUUAUACUGAAAUGCUCUUAUGACUCAAAUAGUCAAUAUGUCUUUCUCUACUGGUACAGACAGUAUCCUAACAGAGCUCUACAGUAUCUACUGCUGAGAGGUGCUCGUCAGCGGAGUGACAGUAAUAUUGCCGACCACAGAUUUUCAUCAACUACAUCCAGCUCUUCCACUGAGCUCACUCUUAGAGAACCAAGACUGGCAGAUACAGCUCUCUACUACUGUGCUCUUAGAGUUGGAGCCCAGUGA